rnacentral:rRNA from 1 species
AGCAAUAUCAUGAAGGUCUAGUGGCGAAAGGGUGAGUAACGCGCGGGUAAUCUACCUCGAUGUUGGGAAUAGCUCGGGGAAACCUGGGAUAAUUCCGAAUGUGGUCGCCUCCGGCAUCGGAGGCUGUCUAAAGCCGGGGACCGCAAGGCCUGGCGCAUUGAGAUGAGCCCACGUCCUAUCAGCUUGUUGGCGAGGUAAUGGCUCACCAAGGCUUACGGGUAGCUGGUCUGAGAGGAUGGUCAGCCACACUGGGACUGAGACACUGCCCAGACUCCUACGGGAGGCUGCAGUCGAGAAUCAUUCGCAAUGGGCGCAAGCCUGACGAUGCGACGCCGCGUGCAGGAUGAAGGCCUUCGGGUUGUAAACUGCUGUGAUGGGGGAACAACCGGCAGGGUGUUAACAGCGCCUUGCUCUGAUAGUACCCCAAGAGGAAGCCACGGCUAACUCUGUGCCAGCAGCCGCGGUAAUACAGAGGUGGCGAGCGUUGUUCGGAUUUACUGGGCGUAAAGGGUGCGUAGGCGGUUCCGCAUGUCGGAUGUGAAAUCCCACGGAUCAUCUGUGGAAUGGCAUUCGAAACUGCGGGGCUAGAGUGCAGGAGAGGAGGGCGGAAUUCUCGGUGUAGCGGUGAAAUGCGUUGAUAUCGAGAAGAACGCCGGUGACGAAGGUGGCCCUCUGGACUGCAACUGACGCUGAGGCACGAAAGCUAGGGGAGCAAACAGGAUUAGAUACCCUGGUAGUCCUAGCCGUAAACGGUGUGCAC